UACGUAGGAUCCAAGCGUUGUCCGGAUUUACUGGGUGUAAAGGGUGCGCAGGCGGACUGGUGAGUCUGGGGUGAAAUCUCGCUGCUUAACAGCGAAACUGCCUUAGAUACUAUCAGUCUUGAAUCAGCGAGAGGUUCGUGGAAUUCCGAGUGUAGCAGUGAAAUGUGUAGAUAUUCGGAAGAACACCAGUGGCGAAGGCAGCGAACUGGCGCUCGAUUGACGCUCAGGCACGAAAGCAUGGGGAGCAAACAGG
rnacentral:rRNA from 1 species